GCCUGGCUGGCUCAGUUGGUAGAGCGUAGGACUCUUGAUCUAGAUAUUGUGAGUUCGAGCCCCACAUUGGGUG
rnacentral:tRNA from 1 species